UUUUUUUUUUCGGUAUUAUUUCCACCUCCCAAUACCUAUAUUCAAAUCGAGUAAAUACUUUUUCAGUCGCUGUACAUUAUAUUUUCGAUUUUGAAAUCUUAGUAUGAAUUUUAUAUCUAUAAAAUACUUUCUUAAUAAUUUUGCUCUUUUUCCACAUUUAAAAAAAUUUUUUUUUUUCUUCACUUUAUAUGUCAGUGUCUGGGGAAUUCGAAGACGACCGUCGGCUUCCGUCAUUAUUCAUGCGCAAGUUACAAUAUCCGUCAGACGAAUGUCCGCGAGCGAUAUUUCUCUCGAGAAACGUUUAUAACCCUCCAAUAAACGUCGCGUGGUCGUGUAUCGAUCGGAAUCAGUUACCGGGCUGAUUUUUUCUCUGUCCGUCUCAUCUCUUUAUCUACCGUGGUCAGAUUGACUAACAAUUACCGUGUGUUUUUGUUGAUCGACUUAAGUCCGCGAUCUUUUACCGGCCGUUACUUUCUGCCAAUCGAAGCUAUGUCAAAAACCGGUUCUUAAAUCUUGGAUCAUUACAAAGCGUCGCGUACUUGUCCCUCUGUUCUCCGUUUCGACGUUCAAACAUGAACGCGUACCACACAGGAUGUAUAGGCUGAUUUGGUUCGAUUUUGCGGCGUAUUAAUUAAUCGGACGCACGCUUCGGUGGGCGUCGGUAAAGUAGCGCGUUUAUACCAUCAUCUAUCCGCUGUGUUUACCGCGUGUAAAGAGUUGCACGUGCGCUCGCUUCUGCGUAAAAGGUCAAAAGAUCGUGAGGGAAAUCAUGUUCCCGGCAAUUAAUCUUCCCACUGAAACGUAUUGAGAUACCUUGCUUACAAAUACACACGCUUUGCGUAUAUCCUCUUCACGGGGUAAUAGGGUUAUUAUGGUUGAACAUUUUAAUCCUCGGACGGCGGACCAUGGAGAGAGCCCCAAUUUUAAUUUAUGUUAUUUUCAUUUUGUAAGUUUUACACUAUUCCUUUUAAAAUUAGGAUAAGUUUCCGAAUGCCCCCCCCCCAAUUGAGAACUCGGGUUCAGUAUAUAACCUAUACUGAGAGCUGGAUGUCUUACCGUUUUUAAGAUAUCGUGAUAAGAAAUUUGUGUACAAUUUUGGGACUACGUAUACGCUAUUCGAUACUGAAUAUAUGAACCUAACUUAAUCUAACCUAACUUUACCACGAUAUCCCGAAAACGGUAAGACAUCCAGCUCUGAAACCAACUUAAAUCGGUUUCCUGUAGUUAAUUUUGGUGGAGCCGUUCGGAAACACAGCCAAUAAUUAUACUAAAAUCAUAUUAUAAUAUUAAAAUCGCUGACUAAUGGGCUAGGUUAUAUUUUUAUUAUAUUUUGAAAUCUCGAAUUUUCUAAGUUUAUUCCUUGUUAAUAAGAAUUACUUUUCAUUGUCUAAUGGCAUCGAAGUAAUCACGUUUACUGCAAAGCACCCAAGGGUGAGAUUCGUCCAGGAUCAGUGUCUAAAGUAGUUAGUGUUGGAAAUGGUGAAACACAUCGGUCGGCCAUAAACCCAGCGCGACAGGCGGACGAAUGAAGUGCUUAUCGUUUCUCGCAAUUCCUCUAUAAUUCCAUGGCGGAUUUAGUGAAAUUUUUUGCUACCCUGUCGUUCUUGUCAGCCGUAAUGAUAUCUCCUCCUACACUCUUAUUCGAACCAACGACACUCUUCCACUCGAGCGGCAGUCCUUCUCGCUUUUUCUUUUUUUUCCUUAACUUUCAAGAAUUUUAUUGACGUAUCACCGACAAUUCAUUCCGGGAAUCAUACGGACACUAAUCAUUUCUUAGGAAAUUCAUUUUUCUCGUUUCCACACUACUCUUAUUGUGCUCAACCUUGUAUUAGUUUUAAUAUUGUCUGGUUCAUCUUUCAAAUAUUUAAUAUUUUCAGAAGCUCAUUAAAAUCUGUACAAACUUUGAAAAUUCUCAAACCAUCCACGGUAGUUCGAGUAACGUUAUAAGCAUCGAGUUGCGAAACUUGCACGCGUAAUCAGGAUAUUGGCAAGUAUUUUCUCGCUCGGGAACCCGUUUGGUCCACCUUGAAGUUCGCGAGCCUAGAGGUCCUCCAGUUUCGAAAUGUCUCCCGCGCCAGGCUUAGACGCUAUUUGAAGAGAUUACUUUCGAGGACCGGUCCGCUUCACUAGUCGGCCUUGAGACCAGCUGACAAACCGAGGAAGAAGCGCUAACACCAUUCGAAAUGGUCCCUGGUGGCAGGGGGGAUUGCGCAAUGCUUCGAAAUACCAUGACAUCGAUUCGCCCAUUCUAUCACCCUGCAAUCUCAUCAGGCUCAGCAACCUUUUUUGAGAAAAAAAUACAAAGAAACCGUGUAUAUAUAGGAAGUUUACUUUAAACACAAUAAUUUCCCCUAAAAUCAUUUGUAUCUUCACAAGUGAUAAAAUAAUUCAUUGGGACACCCUGUAUAAGCGCAAACGUGUGGUCGCUUCUUUAUAAUCCUCUCUUUCUCUGUUCUGCUUCUUUUUCGUUUCUCCUCUCUUUCUCACCGAUGUUCAGGUCUUUUUUGUAUCUUUUGCAGGCCAAAUGUCGGGCCUGGCCGACGGAUAAAUUUAUUUUCGUACACGCCUUUCGACUUCACGGGCAAAGAGAUUUAUGCAGAGAAUUCAUGGUGAACUUUCAAGCGUACCAGGAUUAUUCAUACCCCGCGGUCGCUCGAUGAGGAAUUAGAGAACGAGUCUACAUUCGUUUUUCAGUUAAACGCUUAGAGAUAGAUUUUUAUUUUAUUUUUUUUUUUUUUUUUUUACCAAGACCUUUUUGGCCCGAUAAAUGUACCCUCAGUAUAUUUCUGCUAAGGUAUAUUCCUUAGGGUUAUAGGGAAUUUUGGGGUUCCCGUACAUGUACACCCUUACAAGGGGAACUACCCAAGUGUUUACGUUCACUUAUUAAUGAAACUCUGCGACCUUGUUAAAGCUCGUCGAGCUGAAAAUGCCUGUACCACAUUUUGUGGGCAAAAGGCUAAUUGUUUAAAAGAUAUUAAUAAUUAAAGUUAGUUACUUUUUACAUUCUGAAGUACAACACUCACACAUAGAAACGAUUAGCUGAUUUGGAAUCAAAUCCUUGGUUCCAAACGUUUUUUUAACUUGUAUCUUUUUGAAUAUCUAUUGCAGCUGUGUUAUAAUAAUUGCAUUUAUUAAUAAUUAAUUACUAACGCUGCAAUUUUUAUAGAAUUUAAAUUAUGUUUAUGAUUAAUAUUUUGACCUUUCUAUAACGUUAGAUAAUCAUCCAUAACGAUAGAGAGGAUUACCUGUUGGAGAAUUUUAAUUUUCACAUUUAUCGCGAAUAAUUAAGAUCACUUUGGAGUCCUCCUUAAUGGCGGAACUCGUAAUUCAAAUCGACCGCAAGAGAGACAGAUACGCCGACGUCCCAAUGAUUCGCGACGACCUUCGAUUCGUCGAGUGGCUUCACUGAUCGCCAAUUCGGCUGACGUGUUCGGCUCGAUGUGUGCCAUUUUAUUAAAUCGAUCAGACCGAACGUGUCCCCUUUGUGCCUUUUUCUCAAUCAUCCUGGCUUUUGUUAUCGUCCUAUCUAUCCUUGUGCCAACGCUGAAAUUCCUAUUUCCCGCUUUGAGGCUAUCGAAAUCUUGCUUAUAUAAUUUUAUAAGCUCCAUACAUCCAUUGUAAUACCUGGGUCGACGGGCUGAAAAUUCGCCUAUUAACUGGGUUUAUAAUCAAAACGUCUCUUAGUCGCCAUUAACCCUUGAUCAAAGGAAAUGGGAGGGUGGUAAAUACACAGGAAUAUAAAUGCACGAUAUUAAAAAGAAAUUAACAAAAAUGUUUGAUUUUUAUAAGGAACAUUUAAAGAUUUAUUAUAGAAAAUGAAAACGAUAUGAUAUACAAUAUUGAAUGAAAAUUUGGGCUCUCUGCAUGGUCCGUCGUUCGAGGGUUAACAUUACAGAACGCUAAAAUUGUGGCAAAUAGCAGAAUUGCUUAAAAUCGCGUUAAAAAUGGGCGUCCAAACGGGACUACCCCUUAAAAAGUAGCGUCGAUAGAGAAGUUUAGAGGAAAGAGAAGCGAGAAAGAGAAAGGUUGUAGCUAGAGUUGAAGCGAGAGAGCAGAGGGGUGGGGGUACGGGAGAUGCGUCACCGGGAGGGUGGUAGUCAUACCACCCUCACCCUCCCGUGGCACUUUUGAAGGUCAAGGUUUCGCGCCCCUCUGUGUGUGCCAGCCAAGAGGAUUACGUGGCGGGAGGGCGAGAGGGGAGGUUGCAGGCGUAGAAGUGUUGGUAGACGGGGAAGUGACGGCAAAGGGGUGUGUGCGUGGGUGGCUGGGGGUGUGCGCCAGGGGUGGCGAGAGCCCGGUGCCCAGUAUUUAUAGCGCUUGUGAACCGGUCGAUAGCGGAUAGCGACACUGCGCAGUUGGGAAGCCCUCGGUACCCAAGUACACCCCUCCGUUCUUCCUCCGAUCCUCCUCUAUCCUUGUCCCUCCGGUUAAACCACCCCGUGUUCACCCUUUUACCAACCUCUUACUUGCUCGACCACCCCUUUCGUAUCAAGGCCUUUUUGCUUCCUUUUUUCCCUUUUUCGACUGUAUCCGCUCUGCCCUCUCUUUAAACUUAAUUUUUUUUUUUUUUUUUUUUUUUUUUUCGAUACGCCGCAAAAGAGGCACCUUUCCUCAGGAUAUUGGUCAUGGAUGCUACGGAGGGGGUGCGAAAUGGUCGAUAUCAAUAUCGAUUGGCAGUUUUUAGCAGCGACGGUUUCGAAGUCUUCUCAAGCGUUUAAAGAGCAGUCGUUUAUUGAGAAUCUGUUUCCUUCAAUGAAUUAGAUACUGACGUGACCCUACUUAACCAGAUCUUUUCUUCGAUCUAAGUGUAUACGGUAACCACUUAAUGGCGGGUGACUAUAGUCACCUGUGGUAACGAAAUGGGUUUAGGCAUUGGUGAUCCAACACGCGGUAUCGCGUGAUCAGUUUCAUAGAAGUGACAUCGCGUGGCCGGGGGUAUUCCUGAAAACACACCAGUGUAUCUUGAUCGGUGUAGAAGUAGGCUUAGUGUAUUAUCCGUUACACGUCCUAAAUAUACAAAGUUGGAAUCUAUUUCUGCGGUAAUUCAUGUAACACCUUAUUGGUAUAUGAUUAUUAAGAAUGAUCAAUUCCAGUGCGCUAAUUGCGAAUUUCUUGAUUCUAUUAACUCGUUACCUUAUGUUCCACCGUUGCGUUGGGCGAAUCGACAAUUUCAUUUGGAAAUGUUCUUAAACAAUUUCGACUAACAGGAAGAGAUGAAAUCCGUGGAUAAACAAAAGCGCGGGUUAUUUUUAGAAGAGAGAUGUAAAUUGGCCGGCAAAUUUGAUGGACGAACCACGAGCGACAAACGCUUUGUUUGAAGAACCACCGACCUAACCAAAUGCAAAAUAACGUCGGUGAACCUCCCUUCUGUGUAGACAAAAGAAAAGAAAAAAAAACACCGGCCUCAAGGUAACAUAGAGUGAAAGCAAAAAUAAAAAAAGAACAAGGAGAGAAGUUCGAGCAAAUAAAAACAAGAAACUGUUCGAGAAGAAAGAAGACGGUAGUACUGUUGUUAGAUAAAGAACUUGUCUGGAAAAAAAGGGACGAGAGAAGCUACGUAUCAACGUGUGUAUAUGUACCUGGUGCAGAGGGUGAAAGAGGGAGAGGGAGAGAGAGAGAGACGAUAGUAUAAGAUUGGUAGGGAGUGUGAGAGAGAAACAACGAAGUGGAGAAAAGAGAGGAGGUCAGAGGGUUAGCCAGCGCCGCCCCUAACCAGCUGGCGGGGGUAAAUCUAUUGCCAUUCCUUUCUGGGUGCAUUGGGUGGUUGUCACCCCCUACUAGUUUCAUCACGAAACAGAAAAAGACGGAUACGGAGGAAGGAGGACGGAAGAAGCGUGGGCGUUUCUGUGAAGGCAGAGAUAGAAGGUUGUGUUGGUAGAGCAGAGAGAGAGAGAGAGAGAGGGCAACGAUGGUGGUGAUCGCUAGCAGACAAUAGAGAAGGACAGGUUACGUGCGUUUCGUUGGAGAGAACUUAUCGGCCGACCGUAAAGGUCGUCGUUGGUUGCAUUCUCUUUACUACUUCUUGCAUCUAUUUCUUUCUGUACCCUCCAUCUUCCACACGCAGUCGCAGGGAGUCUUUAACGACUGACUGGACCAGCCGGUAGGAACGUUAGGAGAUAGAAAGAUCACUGUUCAUUGUGGAGAUAGUAUAUGAAGGAAAAUGAUACUCUACUGGCUUUCAAAAUAGCACUUGUAAAUAUAGUUAAUAGGAUCUCGGUAUCAGCCGAUGAUCCCUGAUAUUAGUGGGUAGAUUUACGUCACAGUCAUUUAUUUCAUUCAUCCAGCAAAUGUCUAGAGCGAAUCAGGUUUAGCCCUCAUCCCUAAAUAUAGAUAGCCUUAUAGAUAGAGCAAUAUCUCACUUGGUCUUAUUAGUAAAUCCGGACCACCCUGUAUAUCAUAUGUUCAGAAAGAGAAGACGAGGGUAGUUAGAAUAGAGAGGGAAAUGAUAGAAGAGAAGGGGAAAAACAUAAUCUGAUCACAUCAGCUGACAGAGAGUCACUUUACCAACAGGGAAUAAACUUAAUCUAAGUCUUCACAGUCGGAAAACAUUUUCCAACCACCCUUAAACAAUCGCUAUUAUAAUUUUGCAAAACUAUUAGUAUCCUCUAUAAUGGCGCAAAGUUCGAAUCCCAAACUAAUCAAAUGGUGCAGUUGGCAGUGGCAAUUAGCCCUUUCAGAAGCAAACAGGAAGUUUCUUUUUUUUAUUGAUAAAUAUUCAAGAAGCAGUGGAAUCCCUGAUGAUUCUAUACUUAAACGACGCAUUAACCAAGAUUUCUCUGAAUGUACACGAGGGUGGUGGUGGUGUAUCUGUCGGAAGGCUAGCCAGGAGCAGCAUCGAGGGAGAAUCAGCCCUCCUGCCCUUUCCACGAUCAAGGAGCGAGAGAUAGGAAAACACAAUGAUGGUUAGAGUGCGACAGGUGAAGAGGAAGGUUGGAGUGGGAGGGUUGAAGCAUUUCGGGGCGGCGAAGAGGAGGAUAGCCGUCGCGUGGAGUAGGGUGGGUAGUAGGGUAGCUAAAUCGUGGGACGAGUGGGGAAGGGUUAGAGGGUGUGAGAGUCGGCUGGCAGUGUGGUGGGGGAUAAAGGCAGGUUCCGUGCGUUUCGUUGGAGAACACGUACCACCAGGCGACCGUAAAGAUCGUCGCUGCUCCUCUCUCCAUCGCCGCAUAGAAGUCGAGCAGCUGGUAGCAGGAACGUCAGCAACGAGGAACGGAUCAGUCCACCGUGUGCCACCUUCGGGCUCCUUUUGAUAAACCAUCCGCGGUGCGGAACCAGUCUCUCCCUUUUUUUUUUAUUAUUCCGUCGAGAAAUACAUGUUCGCCAAACCGAGUUUCGAGAGACAAUGGAAAGUUACAAUGAAACAAGGAAAGGGAUGAUGAAAGUUGUAAAAAGAUUAAACGGUGUUAUAUCAAUGGUGGAUCGAUGGAAUAGAAGGCAGUUUUGAGCAAGGCUGAGAUAAGCGGAAUUAAAAAAA